rnacentral:rRNA from 1 species
UACGAAGGGGGCUAGCGUUGCUCGGAAUCACUGGGCGUAAAGCGCACGUAGGCGGCUUGCUAAGUCAGGGGUGAAAUCCUGGAGCUCAACUCCAGAACUGCCUUUGAUACUGGCGAUCUUGAGUCCGGGAGAGGUGAGUGGAACUGCGAGUGUAGAGGUGAAAUUCGUAGAUAUUCGCAAGAACACCAGUGGCGAAGGCGGCUCACUGGCCCGGUACUGACGCUGAGGUGCGAAAGCGUGGGGAGCGAACAGG